ACGAACGCUGGCGGCGUGCUUAACACAUGCAAGUCGAACGGUGAAGCUCCAGCUUGCUGGAGUGGAUCAGUGGCGAACGGGUGAGUAACACGUGUGCAACCUGCCCCUGACUCUGGAAUAAGCGCUGGAAACGGCGUCUAAUACUGGAUACGAGAAGGGUCCGCAUGGGCACUUUCUGGAAAGUUUUUCGGUUGGGGAUGGGCUCGCGGCCUAUCAGCUUGUUGGUGAGGUAAUGGCUCACCAAGGCGACGACGGGUAGCCGGCCUGAGAGGGCGACCGGCCACACUGGGACUGAGACACGGCCCAGACUCCUACGGGAGGCAGCAGUGGGGAAUAUUGCACAAUGGGCGAAAGCCUGAUGCAGCGACGCCGCGUGAGGGAUGACGGCCUUCGGGUUGUAAACCUCUUUCAGCAGGGAAGAAGCGAAAGUGACGGUACCUGCAGAAGAAGCACCGGCUAACUACGUG
rnacentral:rRNA from 1 species